CAGCCCAGCGGAGGAGCAAAGGUCAAAGAUGACAAGGAAAGAGCGAGCUGCUAUGAGACGCCAGAGGUUGGUAGCAGUGAACAAUGAUCGCGGAGGAUCAGUGUCACGUGUAUGCAUUGAUCUCAGCCUUGGACAUCUCAUGAGUGAAAAGGAGAUUGGGGGUCUUGUUUGUCAGAUCAGACAGGUGUACGGAGCUAACAGACAAGCUGAUAGACCCAUGCAGGUCUGGUUGACCAGUCUGGACACAGAGGGCAGCAUAUAUAAAGCAUCACUCACAAAGAAUGACGGAUUUGAACACUAUGUGAUGAACAAGACCAGUCAACAUUACAGUGCAAUAUUUUCUCAGGAAGAAAUCGUUUAUCUCACUCCCGAUUCCCCAAAUGUUUUAACUGAAAUCCAGGACAGCAAGGUGUAUAUCAUUGGUGGCCUGGUCGAUGAAUCAGUAUUAACUAAUAUGACCUUUGACCUUGCCAAAAAAAGAAGUUUCCAUACUGCCAAACUACCUAUAUUAAGAUGCAUGAAGCAUGCAGAGAGAGGAACAUUCAGCCAAGUCCUUGCCAUAAACCAAGUGUUUGAUAUCCUGCUGAAGUAUUACAAUACAGGGAACUGGGAGUCGUCUGUCGUAGCCGUCAUGCCAAAGAGAAAAGGCUUCAUUCCUAAAUGAUAGGUCAGGGAUACUUCAGGAGCAGUCCCAAGUGCAUCCACCAAGGAAACAUAAAAACCUGAUGGCUCCCUUGAAGUAACAUGAAGUGUUUUGUUGCUAUUUAUGAUAGAAGUCUAUUGGAUACAUCACCAAUCUGUUGAUGACAUAGUUUGUCCCAGCCUUGUAUGUGUUUCCUUUGCCAAGACCUUGGUGUACAUUUGCCACAUUUCUUCUUAUUCUUUUAAUUUGAAAAGUGCAGUGUAGGUUCUCUUCCUCCACAUUAAUAUUCUUAUAAUUAUAACUUCCAAUGUUUAUCAUUAUACAUAUACUUCCCUGUAAUCAUGCAUUUUCACUGUUUCUAAACAUUUAAGUUUCUAUGACAGUCAUCACAGUGUUGUUUAGGUCAUUUUUGUGGAUGAAUUAUGUACAAUACUAUUGUUGGUAAACAAACAAGUUCUAAUGUUUAAGACAAUUUUAGAAGGUAAGGUUUAACUUUAACCAACCUUGCUUCUGAGAAAGUAACUAUUUAGUCUGGAUGUAAGUAUUGUCUGGUACAAUUCUACUUUAAUAGUACACUUUCCUUAAUCUCAGAUUUUCAAACUUUUCUCAUCUUGUAGUCCCCAAAACAACAACAUCAUGGGGGAAUGGUCUUUUGCACAAGCUAGAUCAGGGCCCUGUUUCACAAAAAUCGUUAUCAAUAACAAGAUUCAAUAACUGUUAUAAGCUACUGAAAUCGUGGCAUCUGAUUGGCUGAGA